UGGAGAGAUAUUUACAAUAUU
rnacentral:piRNA from 1 species